rnacentral:rRNA from 1 species
GAUGAACGCUGGCGGCGUGCCUAAUACAUGCAAGUCGAGCGAACAGACGAGGAUCUUGCUCCUUCCACGUUUGCGGCGGACGUGUGAGUAACACGUAUAUAACCUCCUUAUAAGACUGGGAUCAUUUCGGGAAACCGGCUCUAACCCGGUAUAAUAUUUCGAACCGCAUGGUUCGAUAGUGAAAUAUGGCUGUGCUAUCUCGUAUAGCGGGAUCUGCGCCGUAUUGGCUGGUUGGUACGGUAACGGCUUAUCAAGGCGACGAUACGUAGCCGAACUGAGAGGGUGGUCGCCCACACUGGAACUGGAACACCGUCCAGACGACUACGAGACGCACCAGUAGGGAAUCUUCCGCAGUAGUCGAAAACAUGGCACAGCAACGCCAAGUGAGUGAUGGAAGUCUUCGGAUCGUAAAGCUCUGUUAUUAGUGAAGAACCGACUUCUACGUAGAUGUACACGUCUUGACGGUAACUGAUCAGAAAGCCACGGCUAACUACGUG